GUGUCAGCAGCCGCGGUAAGACAGAGGAGGCAAGCGUUGUCCGGACUGACUGGGCGUAAAGCGCGCGCAGGCGGAGGCGGGCGUCGGUGCUGAAAGUCCACCGCUUAACGGUGGAUGGCGUGCCGAUACGCCGCUUCUGGAGGGCGGGCGAGGGUGGUGGAAUUGCCGGUGUAGUGGUGAAAUGCGUAGAGAUCGGCAGGAACACCCGUGGUGAAAACGGCCACCUAGCCCGCUACUGACGCUGAGGCGCGACAGCGUGGGGAGCGAACUGGAUUAGAUACCCUAGUAGUCC
rnacentral:rRNA from 1 species